rnacentral:misc_RNA from 1 species
AUCCAGGCGGCCAAGCAGGUCGAUACGACCGCCUGGACCAUCGAAUCCCUGAUCGAACCACCGCCGGAAACCUGGUUGACCGCGAACCUUUCGCCGGGGGACCGCCUCGGAUUUGACCCAUGGCUGCACACUUCGGCAGCAGCGGAGCGCCUCGCCAGAGCCUGCGAAAAGGCCGGUGCUGAACUGGUCGCGGUGGACAGCAAUCC